GAUGAACGCUGGCGGCGUGCCUAAUACAUGCAAGUCGAGCGAACAGACGAGGAGCUUGCUCCUCUGACGUUAGCGGCGGACGGGUGAGUAACACGUGGAUAACCUACCUAUAAGACUGGGACAACUUCGGGAAACCGGAGCUAAUACCGGAUAAUAUAUUGAACCGCAUGGUUCAAUAGUGAAAGACGGUUUUGCUGUCACUUAUAGAUGGAUCCGCGCCGCAUUAGCUAGUUGGUAAGGUAACGGCUUACCAAGGCAACGAUGCGUAGCCGACCUGAGAGGGUGAUCGGCCACACUGGAACUUAGACACGGUCCAGACUCCUACGGGAGGCAGCAGUAGGGAAUCUUCCGCAAUGGGCGAAAGCCUGACGGAGCAACGCCGCGUGAGUGAUGAAGGUCUUCGGAUCGUAAAACUCUGUUAUUAGGGAAGAACAAAUGUGUAAGUAACUAUGCACGUCUUGACGGUACCUAAUCAGAAAGCCACGGCUAACUACGUG
rnacentral:rRNA from 1 species